UCGCCUGUUUAUCAAAAACAUAGCCCUUUGAAACAGAUAAAGGGUGAAGCCUGCCCAGUGGGAAACUUUUCCUCAACGGCCGCGGUAUCUUGACCGUGCAAAGGUAGCAUAAUCAUUUGUCUCUUAAAUGGGGACCUGUAUGAAUGGCUUUUCAUUCUCUAGCUGUCUCCCUUCUUCCCCCUUUAAACUUCUAUUUACGUGAAGAAGCGUAAUUUUGGCAGAAAGACGAGAAGACCCUGUCGAGCUUCAGCUAAACCUAAGUCCCACUACAUUUCCUCUCAGAGAAAAAGUAAAGUCCUUAGAACAAGCUUUGGUUGGGGCAACCAUGGAGUAAAAACAGCCUCCAGUUUUUCAGGUAGAAAACUAUUCUCCUAAAUAUACACUUUUAGAACCAAAAAUUUUGGAAAACGGAAAAAGUUACCGCAGGGAUAACAGCGUUAUCUUUUCUGAGAGCCCUUAUUGACGAAAAGGAUUGCGACCUCGAUGUUGGAUUGGGGUAACCAGAGGGUGCAGCAGCUCUCCAAGGUUGGACUGUUCGUCCAUUAAUUCCCCACAUGAUCUGAGUUCAAACCGGAGA
rnacentral:rRNA from 1 species